rnacentral:lncRNA from 1 species
UAUGUAUGGAUGAUGAGAUUCUAUUGAUACAGAGCCAAUUCCAAUAGACGUAUUGCAGAGUCCCAUUGGCAUGCAUCUGAGUUGUGUCUCAAUCCCAGUGUGGCCGAUCGUCCGUAAAGACCGGCUAAGCAUCAUGGGGACCGCUAUGCCAAAAGUGAGAGAAACCCCAUCCGUGCAUCUUCCGAGUCAUGCCCGGAAUGAGUACUUUGCCCUUAAGAUCUAUCCAAAGCAGUUCCUGCCCCUUCUGACAGUUAUCAGAAUUAAUGAGUUGCUUCUUUCAUCAAUACUCAUUGAUUGACACAUCCAUUUUGAUUACAUUGGAGCUCAAUGAAACAAAUUAAUGGUCUACAAAACCUGAAAAGUAGAAAGAAAGAAAGAAAGAAAAGCAUUGAGACAUGUGGUAGCCAAAAGAGAUCAACACAUUUUGUAGUUCUAACUUCUAAGGCCAUCUCCAAUUGGUGCCCUAUUGCUAUGGCUGGGCAAAUCUCUCGAACCGAACCGAUCAAACCCUAACCGAACCGAACCGAACCCGACGGUUCUUGUCAAAUUAAAUACCCGAACGGGUAUCUGAAUUGAGAACCGACGGGU